rnacentral:rRNA from 1 species
GCAAGUCGAACGGUGAUCGCGGAGCUUGCUCCGCUGGAUCAGUGGCGAACGGGUGAGUAACACGUGGGCAACCUGCCCCAGACUUCGGGAUAACUCUUCGAAAGAGGUACUAAUACCGGAUACGAACUCUGCAGGCAUCUGUGGAGUUGGAAAGUUUUUCGGUCUGGGAUGAGCCCGCGGCCUAUCAGCUAGUGGGUGGGGUAGAGGCUCACCGAGGCGACGACGGGUAGCCGGCCUGAGAGGGCGACC